rnacentral:rRNA from 1 species
AACGAACGCUGGCGGCAGGCCUAACACAUGCAAGUCGAACGUGAAGCCACCUUCGGGUGGUGGAAAGUGGCAGACGGGUGAGUAACGCGUGGGAACGUGCCUUUCGGUUCGGAACAACCCAGGGAAACUUGGGCUAAUACCGGAUACGCCCUUCGGGGGAAAGAUUCAUUGCCGAAAGAUCGGCCCGCGUCGGAUUAGCUAGUUGGUAGGGUAAUGGCCUACCAAGGCGACGAUCCGUAGCUGGUCUGAGAGGAUGACCAGCCACACUGGGACUGAGACACGGCCCAGACUCCUACGGGAGGCAGCAGUGGGGAAUAUUGGACAAUGGGCGCAAACCUGAUCCAGCCAUGCCGCGUGGGUGAAGAAGGCCUUAGGGUUGUAAACCCCUUUCAGCGGGGAAGAUAAUGACGGUACCCGCAGAAGAAGUCCCGGCUAACUCCGUGCCAGCAGCCGCCGUAACAC